rnacentral:rRNA from 1 species
UACGUAGGCAGCGAGCGUUGUUCGGAAUUACUGGGCGUAAAGAGUGUGUAGGCGGUGCUCUAAGUUCGGUGUGAAAUCUCCUGGCUUAACUGGGAGGGUGCGCCGGAAACUGGGUGGCUAGAGUGCGGGAGAGGAGAGUGGAAUUCCUGGUGUAGCGGUGGAAUGCGCAGAUAUCAGGAAGAACACCCGUGGCGAAGGCGGCUCUCUGGAACGCAACUGACGCUGAGACGCGAAAGCGUGGGGAGCAAACAGG